CUUGAUCGAGCCCAGCAGCAGCGGCUCGGUGCGGUGUUGCCCGUAGGUCGCCAGCAAUGCCUGGGCCUC
rnacentral:antisense_RNA from 1 species